CCUACGGGUGGCAGCAGUGAGGAAUAUUGGUCAAUGGACGGAAGUCUGAACCAGCCAUGCCGCGUGCAGGAAGACGGCUCUAUGAGUUGUAAACUGCUUUUGUACAAGGGUAAACCUGAAUACGUGUAUUCAGCUGAAAGUACUGUACGAAUAAGGAUCGGCUAACUCCGUGCCAGCAGCCGCGGUAAGACGGAGGAUCCAAGCGUUAACCGGAUUUAUUGGGUUUAAAGGGUGCGUAGGCGGAUUGAUAAGUUAGAGGCGAAAUUUCCGGGCUUAACUCGGGAACUGCAUCUGAUACUGUUGAUCUAGAGGGUAGUAGAGGUAGGCUGAAUGUAUGGUGUAGCGGUGAAAUGCUUAGAGAUCAUACAGAACACCGAUUGCGAAGGCAGCUUACCAGUCUAUAUCUGACGUUGAGGCACGAAAGCGUGGGGAGCAAACAGGAUUAGAUACCCCAGUAGUC
rnacentral:rRNA from 1 species